rnacentral:rRNA from 1 species
GGUACAUCGGUGACAGGUGGUGGCAUGGUUGUCGUCAGCUCGUGUCGUGAGAUGUGGGUUAAGUCCCGCAACGAGCGCAACCCUAUUGUUAGUUGCCAUCAUUCAGUUGGGCACUCUAGCGAGACUGCCGGUAAUAAACCGGAGGAAGGUGGGGAUGACGUCAAAUCAUCAUGCCCCUUAUGACCUGGGCUACACACGUGCUACAAUGGUUGGUACAACGAGUUGCGAGUCGGUGACGGCGAGCUAAUCUCUUAAAGCCAAUCUCAGUUCGGAUUGUAGGCUGCAACUCGCCUACAUGAAGCCGGAAUCGCUAGUAAUCGCGGAUCAGCAUGCCGCGGUGAAUACGUUCCCGGGCCUU